rnacentral:rRNA from 1 species
UACGAAGGUCCCGAGCGUUGUUCGGAAUCACUGGGCGUAAAGGGAGCGUAGGCGGCGUGGUAAGUCAGAUGUGAAAUCCCGGGGCUCAACCCCGGAACUGCAUCCGAUACUGCCGUGCUAGAGGAUUGGAGAGGUAGCUGGAAUUCACGGUGUAGCAGUGAAAUGCGUGGAUAUCGUGAGGAACACUCGUGGCGAAAGCGAGCUACUGGACAACUCCUGACGCUGAGGCUCGAAGGCCAGGGUAGCGAAAGGGAUUAGAUACCCGCGUAGUCC